UUCUUCGGACCAGGUUCCACAAGGUGCUGCAUGGUUGUCGUCAGCUCGUGCCGUGAGGUGUCAGGUUAAGUCCCGCUAAACGAGCGCAACCCCUAUCGUUAGUUACUAGCAGGUAAUGCUGAGGACUCUGGAGAGACUGCCGGCGUAAGCCGCGAGGAAGGUGGGGACGACGUCAAAUCAUCAUGGCCUUUAUGCCUGGGGCGACACACGUGCUACAAUGGCGUAUACAGAGGGCAGCCAGACCGCGAGGUUGAGCGAAUCCCACAAAGUACGUCCCAGUUCGGAUCGAAGUCUGCAACCCGACUUCGUGAAGGCGGAAUCGCUAGUAAUCGCGCAUCAGCCAUGGCGCGGUGAAUACGUUCCCGGACCUUGUACACACCGCCCGUC
rnacentral:rRNA from 1 species